rnacentral:rRNA from 1 species
CCUGGCUCAGGCCUUUCAGGAGCUACAGGCUUAACACAUGCAAGUCGAGGGGCCUUUGGUCUUAGCUUGCUAAGGCCGAUGGCGACCGGCGCACGGGUGAGUAACACGUAUCCAACCUGCCGUCUACUCUUGGACAGCCUUCUGAAAGGAAGAUUAAUACAAGAUGGCAUCAUGAGUCCGCAUGUUCACAUGAUUAAAGGUAUUCCGGUAGACGAUGGGGAUGCGUUCCAUUAGAUAGUAGGCGGGGUAACGGCCCACCUAGUCUUCGAUGGAUAGGGGUUCUGAGAGGAAGGUCCCCCACAUUGGAACUGAGACACGGUCCAAACUCCUACGGGAGGCAGCAGUGAGGAAUAUUGGUCAAUGGGCGAGAGCCUGAACCAGCCAAGUAGCGUGAAGGAUGACUGCCCUAUGGGUUGUAAACUUCUUUUAUAAAGGAAUAAAGUCGGGUAUGGAUACCCGUUUGCAUGUACUUUAUGAAUAAGGAUCGGCUAACUCCGUGCCAGCAGCCGCGGUAAUACGGAGGAUCCGAGCGUUAUCCGGAUUUAUUGGGUUUAAAGGGAGCGUAGAUGGAUGUUUAAGUCAGUUGUGAAAGUUUGCGGCUCAACCGUAAAAUUGCAGUUGAUACUGGAUAUCUUGAGUGCAGUUGAGGCAGGCGGAAUUCGUGGUGUAGCGGUGAAAUGCUUAGAUAUCACGAAGAACUCCGAUUGCGAAAGCAGCCUGCUAAGCUGCAACUGACAUUGAGGCUCGAAAGUGUGGGUAUCAAACAGGAUUAGAUACCCUGGUAGUCCACACGGUAAACGAUGAAUACUCGCUGUUUGCGAUAUACUGCAAGCGGCCAAGCGAAAGCGUUAAGUAUUCCACCUGGGGAGUACGCCGGCAACGGUGAAACUCAAAGGAAUUGACGGGGGCCCGCACAAGCGGAGGAACAUGUGGUUUAAUUCGAUGAUACGCGAGGAACCUUACCCGGGCUUAAAUUGCAGAUGAAUUACGGUGAAAGCCGUAAGCCGCAAGGCAUCUGUGAAGGUGCUGCAUGGUUGUCGUCAGCUCGUGCCGUGAGGUGUCGGCUUAAGUGCCAUAACGAGCGCAACCCUUGUUGUCAGUUACUAACAGGUUCCGCUGAGGACUCUGACAAGACUGCCAUCGUAAGAUGUGAGGAAGGUGGGGAUGACGUCAAAUCAGCACGGCCCUUACGUCCGGGGCUACACACGUGUUACAAUGGGGGGUACAGAGGGCCGCUACCACGCGAGUGGAUGCCAAUCCCCAAAACCUCUCUCAGUUCGGACUGGAGUCUGCAACCCGACUCCACGAAGCUGGAUUCGCUAGUAAUCGCGCAUCAGCCACGGCGCGGUGAAUACGUUCCCGGGCCUUGUACACACCG